AAAAAAAGAAGUCCAUUCACCCUCAUGACUCAUCAGAUGCUGAACUUCUCUCUUACUACCACCUCCAAAGCUCGACGGGGCGUAGAUACGGUUGCCAAGCUGUGAUUGCACAAUGCUGUUACUCAUCAUCACAGCAGAGGCCAGGACAGCGACCUUAUGAGGUUGGAGGGAUGAGUCAGACGGCGAGGAAAACAAAGCAGCAGGCAGGAACCUGCAAGGAUUACACUCUCAUCAUGUGGAAACGAGACACCGCAACCGGAGCUCCUGCAGCCUGCUCACUGACAACAUGCACUGGAGGCCGACUACUGUCUGACGGGCUGCGUGUGUGUCUGAUGACCUUCACCAGCUGCCACUUGUGCAACACUUCAUCUACACGAGAGGUAAUCAAUCCACAUUCAUCAUUGAUAUAAAUCUAAUUUUUAACAUAUUGGUCUUACUGUGUGUUAUUGUUGUAAUGUAUUCGCUCACUGUCAUGGUUUUGUUGUUACCUGUGCUCUGCUGCGAGCCAAAUUUACCCUAGCGCGACAAUAAAGUACUGUACAGAA